rnacentral:rRNA from 1 species
CUCACUGGUCGAGUCGGCCUGCGCGGAAGAUGUAACGGGGCUAAACCAUGCACCGAAGCUGCGGCAGCGACACUGUGUGUUGUUGGGUAGGGGAGCGUUCUGUAAGCCUGUGAAGGUGUGUCGUGAGGCAUGCUGGAGGUAUCAGAAGUGCGAAUGCUGACAUAAGUAACGAUAAAGCGGGUGAAAAGCCCGCUCGCCGGAAGACCAAGGGUUCCUGUCCAACGUUAAUCGGGGCAGGGUGAGUCGACCCCUAAGGCGAGGCCGAAAGGCGUAGUCGAUGGGAAACGGGUUAAUAUUCCCGUACUUGGUGUUACUGCGAAGGGGGGACGGAGAAGGCUAUGUUGGCCGGGCGACGGUUGUCCCGGUUUAAGCGUGUAGGUGUGUGUUCCAGGUAAAUCCGGUUCACUUUAACACUGAGGCGUGACGACGAGGCACUACGGUGCUGAAGCAACAAAUGCCCUGCUUCCAGGAAAAGCCUCUAAGCAUCAGGUAACAUCAAAUCGUACCCCAAACCGACACAGGUGGUCAGGUAGAGAAUACCAAGGCGCUUGAGAGAACUCGGGUGAAGGAACUAGGCAAAAUGGUGCCGUAACUUCGGGAGAAGGCACGCUGACACGUAGGUGAAGUGAUUUACUCAUGGAGCUGAA